AUUGAACGCUGGCGGCAGGCCUAACACAUGCAAGUCGAGCGGAUGAAGGGAGCUUGCUCCUGGAUUCAGCGGCGGACGGGUGAGUAAUGCCUAGGAAUCUGCCUGGUAGUGGGGGAUAACGUCCGGAAACGGGCGCUAAUACCGCAUACAUCCUGAGGGAGAAAGUGGGGGAUCUUCGGACCUCACGCUAUCAGAUGAGCCUAGGUCGGAUUAGCUAGUUGGUGGGGUAAAGGCCUACCAAGGCGACGAUCCGUAACUGGUCUGAGAGGAUGAUCAGUCACACUGGAACUGAGACACGGUCCAGACUCCUACGGGAGGCAGCAGUGGGGAAUAUUGGACAAUGGGCGAAAGCCUGAUCCAGCCAUGCCGCGUGUGUGAAGAAGGUCUUCGGAUUGUAAAGCACUUUAAGUUGGGAGGAAGGGCAGUAAGUUAAUACCUUGCUGUUUUGACGUUACCAACAGAAUAAGCACCGGCCAACUUCGUG
rnacentral:rRNA from 1 species